CUGGGUUCUUCACUGGUCUCGUCAGACGGUCAAGCAACUCGCAGCAAGCAGGAUUAUAAGGUAACGUUAGCUGCAUUAGCUGCCCUUAACGUUAAACCACAAUAUUGUAGAAUUUGUUUUGCCUCCCAAAAAAAUUUGAGAUGGUGGAUUCGCAGCAAUGGGUCUACACAGAAAUCUUGAAGGAGUUCCCCAGGCUUCUAGAAAAACUUGGCAUGAUGCUGAAAGGGAGAGUGCUUUCAAAGUCCUGCCCGCUCUGCUUCCCCAAUCAAUAUUCAAGAACGGAGGACAGGUCUUCAGACCCACAACCACAGAAUCCUGGAAGUCAUUCAUUUGACGUACAACCUGCGGGGACCAACAUGGUGAUGCAUUCCUGUACAUUUUGUGCCUUGGUGCUGAGUCAACGACCUCCCACACCUUCACCAUUGUUUCA